rnacentral:rRNA from 1 species
ACACGGAAGUUAAGCUCUCCAGCGCCGAUGAUAGUUGGGGGCUCUCCCCCUGUGAAAGUAGGACGUCGCUGGGC